rnacentral:tRNA from 1 species
GGAUUGUGGCUUAGUGGUAGAGUGCUUGCCUAGCAUGUGUGAGGCACUGGGUUCGAUUCUCAGCACCA